UGUUGUUGGAGCCAUUUCUCGAAAUCUUCAUGAGCUUCAAGAAAACGAAGGAAGUUUCUAUUCAAUCUACGACCAACCUGUUCUUCCACUUCAGGAUCCAGUGGUCGAGGCAAUUAAGACAGCAGUUGACAAGUUAACAAACUCGACGAGUUUCCUCAACUUCUUGGCACAGCAUGCUCUUAUCAUGCAAGAUGAUCUCCAGACUCCUUCAGAGGAUACCAUCGAUGAACGGACUUACCAUUUUAACUCCUUACUCCUGAACUUAGGAAACACGUUUUUGUACAUGGUCAACACAUACAUCAUCGUCCCUACAGCAGAUGACUAUUCAAUGAGCCUCGGAGCUGCAGCUACUGUUUGUGGUGUUGUAAUUGGAUCUAUGGCCGUGGCUCAAGUCUUCUCCUCGGUUUAUUUCAGCGCUUGGUCCAACAAAUCUUACUUCAAACCUCUUGUGUUUAGUAGCAUCGCUCUCUUUAUCGGAAACUUAAUGUAUGCGUUGGCUUAUGAUGCAAACUCCAUUACUCUUCUCUUAGUAGGCCGUCUCUGUUGUGGGUAAGUUCUAAAAGCUUAUGAAACGUUUUAAUAGAGGAAACCUUUGUUAUAAUAACCAUUUUAAAUGUUGCAGGCUGGGGUCAGCAAGAGCUGUGAACAGGAGAUACAUCAGUGAUUGUGUGCCUUUGAGAAUCAGAAUGCAGGCAUCUGCAGGCUUUGUGAGUGCUAGUGCUCUUGGAAUGGCGUGUGGUCCUGCACUAGCCGGUUUGCUCCAAAUCAAAUUCAAGUUUUACAAGCUGACGUUUAACCAGUCUACUUUGCCUGGUUGGGUCAUGGCUGUGGCGUGGCUGUUCUAUUUGGUAUGGCUAUGCAUUUCAUUCAAGGAGCCGUUGCGUGAUACAGAGGAGCAAGAAAGAAGCAAGCGUAAUGAAACAAGUUCAAGUAAUAAUCUUACUAUUCUGGAAGUAAAACUGUUCCUUUUACUGAUUGUUAACGAGUUAUUUGAUUGGAUUCUCUUGAAUGAAUAUGCAGUGACAGAGAGAAUUGAGGAAGGUAUUCGGAAGCCGUUGUUGAUUACUUCAGGGAUCUUGCCGGAUGAUGAAGAGGAUUGCGAUGAAAGUGAAGAGUCUGCAGAUGAUUCUCGCAGACCUGCAAACUCUUUCGGUGAUGCAUACCGCCUUCUUACUCCAUCUGUUAAGGUAUCUAUCUAUCAAUCUCAAACUUGUUCCUACAUUAUAAGAAUAAUAGAACUGACUUGCGGUUUUGGUGGUGGUCAGGUUCAACUGCUGAUCUACUUCAUGCUCAAGUACGCAAUGGAGAUAUUACUGUCUGAGUCUAGUGUGGUUACGUCAUACUAUUUUGGCUGGACAACAAGCUCCGUUGCCAUCUUCUUGGCGUGCCUUGGACUCACGGUGCUACCUAUCAACAUUCUUGUGGGAAGUUACAUCAGUAACAUGUUUGAAGACAGGUAAAAGAAUCUUGAAACUUUUUAGAUGCUUCUUUGGUCAUUGCAUUCAUAAAUGAAGCUUUGAUGGUGUUUUUAUUUGCAGGCAAAUCCUUUUGACGUCUGAGAUCAUUGUCUUUGUUGGGAUCCUCUUCAGUUUUAACUUGUUUGUUCCAUACACUGUACCGCAAUACGUGAUCUCUGGUCUAGUAAUGUUCGUUGCUGCUGAAGUGCUUGAAGGUAUAUAUAUAAGUGAACAAGAACUUUGUUUUCUUUAGAAACCAACUGUUCCUAAACAGCUUUUGUUUUGUUAUAUAGGUGUGAAUCUAUCAUUGUUGUCGCGGGUAAUGUCAUCAAGGCUAUCAAAAGGAACUUACAACGGAGGAUUGCUGUCUACGGAAGCUGGGACGCUGGCUAGAGUUGUGGCGGAUGUAACUAUAACGUUGGGAGGAUACUUGGGAAGAAACCAUCUGUUGAAUGCAACUCUGCUACCAUCACUUGUCAUCUGCAUUGGCUCCAUUGUUGCUACUUGUUGUACUUAUAACUCUCUCUAUUGAUAUAUAGAUCAUGUAGUGUUAAAAAAAAAAAUCAGAUCAUGUAAUUCUAUAACGACAAGAGGAUAUCAGAACAACGAUACGUUAGUAGAUUUUCCAUAGAGGCCCUCUUAGACAUAUGUAUUCAUUUUUACAUCAUACUUUUCUGUUAACUUGAAAAGCCCCUCGGUCCAAAAAAAAAACUUAAAAAGGCCCCGGUAGUUUUGAAUAAUCAUGAAUGCUCUUUUUGUAAAGAACAUAACAACUAAUCUAAUACACUUCUACAUUAUUAUCUGCGAAGAAAUAUUUUUGAUCCCGAACUCUUACAUAAAAUUUAAACUGGUUAAAAUUAUUAUUACCGUUAAUGAAUAGUUAAAUAAUUUAUUAUUUAAUUAAAAAUAAAUUUAUAUUAACAGUUUAAAAUUUAUUUAUUAGAUUCGAUAAUUUAUUACAAAUUAAUAUAAUAAAUUUUGGCCAAAAAUAAAAGCAUUUAGAAAUAAAUAAGAUAAUUAUAUGUAAUACUGUUAUCUGAAAAGAAUAUUUUUUCAAUCAUAAAAAUUUCAAACUUAAAAACCAAAUAUAUGCAUAAUUAAAUAUUAAUCAAAUAAAAUAUUUUUGGUGUAAUCAAAAAUAAAUAUUCAAUGUUUUGAAAUAUUUUAUUAUUAUUUUUUAUUAAAAAUGAAUUAAAAUAUGUAAAAUGAUAAAUUUUUGUCAUAUAUAAAUAAUUUGAUGUUCGAUUUAAUUUUUUGAAAAUGUAAACAAUAUAUAAUUUUCAAAUUAAUAAUACAAAUACUAAUAAGUAACGGUAAGAUAAUUAUGUCUAUAAAAGACCUUCCUAAACAUAUGUAUUUCAUGAUUUUUGGUCUAGACUAAAAAACCCUAGCACCCCCUUUCUCUCUCGACUAAAGUCGCAGCCGCUUCUCCGAUUUGAAUCUCCUCUGGCGGUCGGCUCUGCCGCGGUCGUCGGGAGCGGCCUCUUCUGUUUCUCUGUCAUGUUAUCGGCUUUUCUCCUUGAGUUUUUGGUUCCUCUGAAACUUACGGCUUGGAUUCGUUAGAUCUGAGAUGGUGAGUCAAAGGGUCCGACCUCGUUGUAUUUCUCGGUGUUUAUGGGCAUAUUCCUCGACGUCCAGAGAUGCGGAGACUCGAUGGUAUGACCCAGGUUUGAUUCCCCUGUUUAUGUGGUAUCUUUGUAGGAACUAGGGUCUCUUGGUAUUUCUGUCUUCUGUGUCUUAGUAAUGAGACGAGGCUUUCAAAAGACGAUGGAGUGAGAGAUCAGGGAUCCGAAGUUGUUAGCUUCUUGCUGUUUGCUUUGGCUGCCCCACUAGAUUCGUAGCUUUUUCAGGUGUGCGGGUGCAGUUUAUUCCGGCUCUGAUGUGGGGUGGUAAUUCUUCCAUCGGUUCGGGUGAGGCAAAGCUCAAGUAUUUCAAUGGUGGUCGCUUGUGCUUCUCCUGUUAUCUUCUCUUUGUCUUGGUGUAGCGAAGGUCCUCGGUCUAAGUUAGGUCUUAACCUGUGUUAUACCUUUCCCUUGCUCGAAGUUCAAAGCCUCUCGAUAUAAGUUCGGCUCUGUUUCGAGGCCUCAUUGGUGAGGCGUUCUGGUGGAGCUUCUGUUUGAGGCUUCUUUGUGGAGACAACUUCAGAGAGUGUAGAGGAUUCAGAGUUAGGGAGGUGGUUGUUCGAAUUCAUAAAGGAAGUUUCAGUUGGUUUUGGACUUGUGGAGUUUGUUUGGUCUAAUGGUUAUGUUGGGAGAUAGCAUUCUCUGCAUCUUCAGGCCUCGCCGUUUGUCCUCUGCUCUUGUUUUUUGUUUUCUUCAUCUGGUGAAGAUCCGGAGCGGGGAAGUUGUUCAGUUCCUUGGGUUGAAACGAACGGGUUUCUCCGGAUUUUUUGGUAAGGAGCUGUGGAGCCUUAGCUCAAUUUCAUGCAGUCUUUGAGUGGUUAAUUGCCAACUGUCGUCUUCUUUAAGAUCGUCUCUCUUGUGGGCUUCUUGUUGAUGAAGCAAUUUUAGGUAUGGUUUGAACGGGAUUCACUUGUGAAACUGUUAUAGGAGAUCAUCUUCGAACUCAAAUAAUUAGGCUUGCAUCGCUUUCACACUCAUCUCUGUUUCCGGCUUCGUCUAUCUUCUCCUUUUUUGAAGUGUAUUGUCUAUCUCCCUAUGUUCCAAAUCAACUUUGUCUUCUUCCUUGUGUCUAGUUUAUGUUUUAGUGGAUGUACUAAUGUGUCUCCGGAGGGUGCAUAUCACAUGUCCGGCUUAUGGCUCUAGAAAGAUUGCAUAUCUUUGUUGGCUUGGUGUAAAACUUUGUUCAAGUUAAUAUUAAUCUACUAGAUUACAAAAAAAAACACAUGUAUUUCAUUUUUACCCAAAAUUUGUUGUUAACUUGAAAAGACGCCCGGUAGUUUUACAUAAUUAUGAAAAGCUCCUUUUGGUAAAGAACGUGACAAUUAAUGACUUUUUGGGCAGCCAUGUAUUUUCUUUUUCGUCAAUGAUUGGGUCUGGGUCGCCGUAAAUGCAAUAUAGAUGACAUGAUCACAUUAUUACUUCAUAUUACAGAUUCUGUGACUCUCUUUUGUUCUUAUCAUCACCGACUCCUCCCGUGUAUAUCAUCAUCUUCUGAGUCUUACAAUAACAAAACCCAUUCUUGGUAUUUGAUUCUCUCAGAUCUUAUCGUCGAUUUAACUCAUAAAGUAAUGAACUUUUGAUUCAGUUUCGUUGUUUUCAGGUGUAUUCCGUUGAUGGGUCAUCCAAAAAUCCAAGCUUUAAUCGAUUUUUCCUCUUAAGGUGAUUGAUUUUUUACGUUAGCUGAGGUGAAAAGUAGAGAGAAUUAAGGUUAGAUGUGAGUAAGUGUAGAAAAAGUUUUAAGUCUUUUGGCGUUUUUCAUAUGUCUACAAUGUGUGGAAUUUUAAAGCCAAGUUGGCUUGCUUUAUAUCAUUGACUCCACUAACAUCUAUUUAUAUAUUUAUUCUUUUAUGUAGAACAAUUUAUUAGUAUGAGUAGUAGGCCUUCAUGGUAAGCUCGUGUGUUCUGAUCCCUUUGCACACCAUUUUUUUAAUCUAUUUUCAGAGAUUUAAAUCUGCAUAAGGAACGCAUCAGCUUUUUGUAUUAAAGAAGAAAUCAGAAGGAGAACGAGGAUAGAUACAUACAGGCAAAAGAAAAACGUUGUGAGUUUAUUGAUUUAUUUAUAUAUAAAGCAAGAUCUCUGCUUUGGCUUAUUUGUUAGAAGAACAAAGCAUGUGAAAGAGAAAAUGCAAGAGUUUUAAUUUUACACAAGCUGACUUUUUGCGGAUUUUCUGUUGUGAAAAAAGUAUAAAUAAUCUUGAGUUUUUGAUUGUUUAUUCACGUUUUCUUGAUUUGAUUUGGUAAUUUAUUGUACUAAGUGGUUUGUACGUGAUCGUUCUCUGCACAUGGGCUUGUAGAGAUAGCCAGCCAUUUUUAGUCGCUGACUUUCUUAUAUAUGUAUGUUUAAAAAAGAGUGUUAUUUGGAAAGUUUCUUGUUCUGAAGUUCUAUAUUGUGCUUGAGCACUAAUCAAACGCUCAGCAAUUCACAGAUGAUUUGAGGUUUUAUUCCAUUUAGAUGCUUGAGAAGAACUGUUCUUUUUCCUUGAAUCUUUUUUUAGUUUCCUAAAACAGGUUUUGCAUUAAUCCCCUGAACCUGCUCUGUGGCUAUGUCUCUUUGUGACUGUCUGGUUAUUAGCUAACUGUAGAAUGUGAAACCGUUUGUGUAAUGAUAGCGUUUCAUUAGCUCCAUUGAGUAAGGCUUUUGUUGUGGAUUUGUUGAUUGAAAUCUCAAUGUAACUUUUUAAGUGUCACAGAGCUUUGAAUGUGUCACAAAUGUUCUUGGAAUAGUUCUUUUCUCUCCUUUCCACAUCUGGAAUUAUAUUGACUUUGGAUAAAUUUAAUAUUAUUAUGUAACUGUAUUAAAUUCAUUUUCCGUAUGCCACAAAACCCAUUCUCUGUUUGCUUCAUCAAGUUGACAAAAUAGCAAAAUCUUUAUAUAAGUGAUAUCAAGGGUGUGCUAAUCUCCACAUUCUUUUCAGGCUGUUAAGAAAAAGUUUGCUCUCUCUCUGCCUUAAGCGAUAGAAGAAGAUGGUGGCUUUUGGGAAAUAUCUGCAGCGGAAACAAAUCGAAGAAUGGAGAGGGUAUGCACCUGCACAUGCCUUAUGACAUCUUUUGUUUAUGUUCUCAUAUCAUCUGAUUUUUUGGUUGCUAAUGACGUUUUGAUGAUUCCCUUGUAGCUAUUACAUCAAUUACAAAUUGAUGAAGCAGAGAGUAAAGCAAUAUGCUGAACAAAUACGUGGCGGAUCUCAACAUCCUCGCCAUGUUCUCAAAGAUUUCUCCAGGAUGCUCGAUACUCAAGUAUGUUAUAGACAAUUUUCAAGAUGAUCUAGUUUGAAUUGUUAGCUUGCAUGCAUCCAUAAUGUUUUAUCAUUGUUUCUGUUUAUUAGAUGAAACGUUUAAGAAACUGAUUAAUCGUGUUGCAGAUUGAGAAAACAGUCCUAUUCAUGUUGGAACAACAAGGGUUGCUGGCAGGGAGAUUAUCCACGCUGAGGGAAACGCAUGAUGCUGUUCUCGAGCAGCCUGACAUAUCGAAAAUCGUGGAGCUACGUGAAUCAUACAGAGACGUUGGAAGAGAUCUUCUACAGCUUCUGAAAUUCGUUGAGUUGAACGCCAUUGGUCUCCGCAAGAUACUCAAGAAGUUUGACAAACGUUUUGGCUAUAGAUUCGCCGACUACUACGUCAAAACCAGGGCUAAUCAUCCUUACUCACAGCUUCAACAAGUGUUUAAGCAUGUGGUAAAUAAACUCUUGUCUUACUUAUCUCUUUCACUGGUUUCAUCUAUAGGAGUCUUUAAUGUUGUUCUGUGUGUAUGGAAUCUAUAGGGUGUAGGAGCUGUUGUUGGAGCCAUUUCUCGAAAUCUUCAUGAGCUUCAAGAAAACGAAGGAAGUUUCUAUUCAAUCUACGACCAACCUGUUCUUCCACUUCAGGAUCCAGUGGUCGAGGCAAUUAAGACAGCAGUUGACAAGUUAACAAACUCGACGAGUUUCCUCAACUUCUUGGCACAGCAUGCUCUUAUCAUGCAAGAUGAUCUCCA
rnacentral:lncRNA from 1 species